rnacentral:rRNA from 1 species
UACGGAGGGGGCUAGCGUCAUUCGGAAUUACUGGGCGUAAAGCGCACGUAGGCGGCUUUGUAAGUAAGAGGUGAAAGCCCGGAGCUCAACUCCGGAACUGCCUUUUAGACUGCAUCGCUUGAAUCCAGGAGAGGUGAGUGGAAUUCCGAGUGUAGAGGUGAAAUUCGAAGAUAUUCGGAAGAACACCAGUGGCGAAGGCGGCUCACUGGACUGGUAUUAACGCUGAGGUGCGUAAGCGUGGGGAGCAAACAGG